rnacentral:rRNA from 1 species
UACGUAGGGUGCGAGCGUUGUCCGGAAUUAUUGGGCGUAAAGAGCUCGUAGGCGGUGUGUCGCGUCGGUCGUGAAAACUUGGGGCUUAACUCUGAGCUUGCGGUCGAUACGGGCAUCACUGGAGUUCGGCAGGGGAGACUGGAAUUCCUGGUGUAGCGGUGAAAUGCGCAGAUAUCAGGAAGAACACCCGUGGCGAAGGCGGCUCUCUGGGACGGUACUGACGCUGAGACGCGAAAGCGUGGGGAGCGAACAGG